ACCUGGGAGGUAAUUGUCCCACUCUGCUUGGCACUGGUGAGGCCUCAGCAGGAGUACUGUGUCCUUUGAAAAGAGGUGGACAAAUCAAAGAAAGUCCAGGGGAGAGUUACAAAAAUGAUAAAAGGUUUAGAAAACCUGACCUGGGAGGAAAGGUGAAAUUUUUUUGGCAUGUUUAGUCUUGAGAAAAGAAGAGUGAGAGGGAACCCGAUAACAGUCUCCUUUAUGUUAAGGGCUUUUAUAAACAGUGAUCAGUUGUUCUCCAUGUCCACUGAAGGCAGGACAAGAAGUAGUCAGUUUAAUCUGCAGCAGUGGAGAUUUCGGUCUGAUAUUAGGAAAGGCUUUCUAACGCUAAAGAUAGUUUUGCUCUGGACUAGGCUUCGCAGGGAAGAUGUGGAAUCCUCAUUAGAGGCUUUAAAGAAGAGAUUAGACCAUAGGUGCUGGAACUGGUGGUGCUGCCGCACCCACUGGCUUGAAGUGGUUUCCAUCAUGUACAGGACUUACAGUUUGGCUCUCAGAACCCCCACUAUACAGAUUGUUCCAGCCCCCCUGGGUUAGACAAAUGUCUGCCAGGGAUAGUCCCAGUAUAUGUGAUCCUGCCUCAGAGCAUGGGGCUGGAAUAGGUGACUGCUCAAGGUUCCUUCCAGCCCUACAUUUCAAUGAUUCUUGUUUUUAAAACACUCCAUGGACUUGCUGAUGCAAACUUCACAGACGUUGUCCCUUCUGCUUCUGCUGCUCUAGGACCAGCCUCAAUCUACUACCCUGACACAUAAUCCUGCCAACCUUCCUGUGAGAAGCUCCUCUUCUGCAGCUCCUGUUGUUUGGAGCAGCCUUACCUGAUUGACUAUGGCACUCCAAAGCAGUUUGGGAGAGAGCUGUUGUGAACAACACUGCACAACAUGUGUUCCUUCCCUGGUGUACUAUCUUAGGGGAUGUGCUAAGACUCUCGGGAACAAGAGCAGGUUCAGGACUCUUUAGCUCAACUCAAGUGUUUGUCGCUCUGUUUUCUGGUGAUUAGCCAAUACCAGCUGUUCUGGUGAUGAAGAUGUCUCAAAUCAAUUCUAUCCUGUCUGGCUUUCCAGGAAGAGGGUCCCCCCGCAUCUCAGAUUGAAAUUUAUCAGAGUCACUGCAGGCAGGAAAUUUGCUCCUUUACAAACUCGCACUCUCCCGCUUAUUUUUAUUGUUUUAACAUUUUCCAGAAAAACAAGUCAGAAAACAAACCUACUUCCUCUUUAGAAUGUGCUGUUAUUAACCUCUGAAAUGCUGAUUCUACCGGUUGGUCAUUUUUAUCGUAGAUCACUUUAAAGUAACGGCAGGAUCACAAAUUUAAAAAUCACAGUCAAUGCUGAAUCAGCAUAAAGAACAAAACACUAAGAGCAACAUUUUCAAUCCUCAGUGCCUACAAAGAAGCUCUUGAAUACUACCUCUAGGCUUCAAUGAUCUCCAGAAGGAAGGACAACAGGAUUUGGGUCUUUAGCACCAAAAAAAGUACCUUUAUUUUCAAAGGUGCUGAGCACCUGCAGCUCCCAUAGACUCGAGGGGGUGCUCAGCGCUCAUGCCUAAAAAGUGAGCUCUUUAUAAGGGAGUUCAGAUGAGGAAAAGUUUUUUUUUACUCAACUGUAAAUUUGGGUGUGUUAGUGCUUUCCACAUUUUUUUCAAAGAUCAAUAUUAAUGGAGGGUUUUUUGAGACAUACAAGCUGAAGAUACUCUCUUGAUUAAUUUCAGACAUUUUUUGGUGUCCUUCUUUGCCUUUGCCAGAAUGAAAUUUGGCAAAUACAUAUUUCCUGCUGCAGGAAAACAAUGUGUCUUUUCAUAGCUGGGAAUCAAGUCUUGGCAAUUAAAUUAGGACCAAUGUCCAUUGAUCUCAGUGGAAAACCCUAUUAUAUGGGAGAGCUCUUAGACCACAUCCUGCCAUCAUUCUGCACCGAGAACCCCCUCUGAGGUCAGCAGGAGUUUUAUGCAAAAAUAUAUAGCAGGAUGUGGUCCACUUAAGGACACUCUAAAGGUUGAAGCUCUAAACUGCAACUUUCCUUCUUCAUUCUGUUGCUAUUGGUCCUCUAAAAUCAGGUCUUCAGAUGAAACAAAAUCCCAGCUUUUCAGUUGGGUGACCAAGCACAACUAACACAGGCAUUAGGGUCAUCUGUAAGUAUGGACACAAGUAUGAGGCAAGCUUGUGACUUUGCCCAAUGUCCCCACUUUGCUUUCUCCAUCCUAGUAAGCAUGGGAUUGGCUGCAUCCCUUUAACUUCUGAGGAGAAUAGCAACAAGGAAAGAAUUUCUGCCUUAGAUUGACCAUGACUUUGGCAGGUGAAAAGUGUUGCUAAUUAUUAGUUCAAGGGCAUAGCUGGAUGAGUGGCUCAGCCUUCAUGACCAAAUGCCUUUCACCUGUGACUAGCACAAAUGAUUUCCUGGGUCACAAAUCAGCUUCUAGCUUGAGGGGUGAUUGGAAGAUCAAGUAUCAAAUCUGUAAAAUCUCUAAACGUCUUAGAACCCCUGAUUCAAAGAGCAAGAGAGAAAAGAAAAACAACUUCCCUUCAGUUUACAGUGUAUAUGCCUUUCAACAGAGAUCUUAAAGAUUGAAGUGUUAGGGGGUGGCAGUAGCGUGGGCUGCUAGCUAGAAUUCUUGACUGGGAGUUGGAUAGAAGAGGUUUUACACACAGGUCUGUCACUGAGUCACUACUUGAUUUUGGGUAAGUCAGAUAACUUCUGUUUCCCUAUUGGCAUAAAAAGGACAAUGAUUCUCAGCUGCCUUUGUAAAGCCCUUGGUGAUCUGUGAAUUAGUGCCCUACACAUACUUAGUAAAGGGCCUGUUGCAUUUUUGUUGAAUGUAAAAAAAGGGGUUUGCACUGGAGUCUUGGCAAAAGUGUUUUCCUACUCCUGCUUGGCUGCUGCCUUCUGCCCCAGAGGCAGUGUUAAAAUGGUGUAUGCUGAAUCGUUAUUCUAUGCCAGUACUUACUGUUGUUCAUGAAUGGUCUACAGAAGUGAGUAUUUUAGUAGAAGUAAAUUUGUCUGGAUGCUUAUAAGAGCUAGCCUUAAGUUCCAUGAACCCAAUGCUGUAGAAACUACCUGAUAAAACAGUCACCUGAU